ensembl:snoRNA
GUCCUUCUGUAGCUCAUAAGUGUGAUAACUAAGGGUUCACAUGCACACGUGAGAUGUGCCUCCCUCAAACCUUGUUAUGAUAUCGGCACAACAACACUUAGAUU